rnacentral:ncRNA from 1 species
UAUUUGGAGAGUUUGAUCCUGGCUCAGGACGAACGCUGGCGGCGUGCCUAAUACAUGCAAGUCGAGCGAAGUUUUUCUGGUGCUUGCACCGGAAAAACUUAGCGGCGAACGGGUGAGUAACACGUAAAGAACCUGCCUCAUAGACUGGGACAACUAUUGGAAACGAUAGCUAAUACCGGAUAACAGCAUUAACUGCAUGGUUGAUGUUUAAAAGUUGGUUUUGCUAACACUAUGAGAUGGCUUUGCGGUGCAUUAGCUAGUUGGUGGGGUAAAGGCCUACCAAGGCGACGAUGCAUAGCCGACCUGAGAGGGUGAUCGGCCACACUGGGACUGAGACACGGCCCAGACUCCUACGGGAGGCAGCAGUAGGGAAUCUUCCGCAAUGGGCGAAAGCCUGACGGAGCAACGCCGCGUGAGUGAAGAAGGAUUUCGGUUCGUAAAGCUCUGUUGUUAGGGAAGAAUGAUUGUGUAGUAACUAUACACAGUAGAGACGGUACCUAACCAGAAAGCCACGGCUAACUACGUGCCAGCAGCCGCGGUAAUACGUAGGUGGCAAGCGUUGUCCGGAAUUAUUGGGCGUAAAGCGCGCGCAGGUGGUUUAAUAAGUCUGAUGUGAAAGCCCACGGCUCAACCGUGGAGGGUCAUUGGAAACUGUUAAACUUGAGUGCAGGAGAGAAAAGUGGAAUU